ACCUGCGGAAGGAUCAUUACCGUGGGGCUCCGGCCCCAUUGAGAUAGCACCCUUUGUCCAUGAGUACCCUUUGUUUCCUCGGCGGGUCCGCCCGCCAGAGGACAGUCCAAAAACCUCUUGCAGUAGCAGUAUCUUCAGUAAAAAACAAAUAUUAAAACUUUCAACAACGGAUCUCUUGGUUCUGGCAUCGAUGAAGAACGCAGCGAAAUGCGAUAAGUAGUGUGAAUUGCAGAAUUCAGUGAAUCAUCGAAUCUUUGAACGCACAUUGCGCCCUUCGGUAUUCCGUUGGGCAUGCCUGUUCGAGCGUCAUUUAAACCUUCAAGCUCUGCUUGGUGUUGGGUGUUUGUCCCGCCCCCGUGUGCGGACUCGCCUCAAAUUCAUUGGCAGCCGGUAUGUUGGCUUCGUGCGCAGCACAUUGCGCCGCGAUUCCAGCAGGCCCCCUCCCAUCAAGCCCCCUUUUUUACUUUGACCUCGAUCAGGUAGGGAUACCCCCU
rnacentral:rRNA from 1 species